rnacentral:tRNA from 1 species
UAGAUAUAGCUUAAUAAAAGCAUAUUACUGUUAAUAAUAAGAUGGAAGCCCCUAUCUAA